rnacentral:rRNA from 1 species
AAAAGGUGGCUAUGCUACCGCUUUUGGAUGGGCCCGCGGCGCAUUAGCUAGUUGGUGGGGUAAAGGCUUACCAAGGCAAUGAUGCGUAGCCGAACUGAGAGGUUGAUCGGCCACAUUGGGACUGAGACACGGCCCAAACUCCUACGGGAGGCAGCAGUAGGGAAUCUUCCACAAUGGGCGAAAGCCUGAUGGAGCAACGCCGCGUGGGUGAAGAAGGUCUUCGGAUCGUAAAACCCUGUUGUUAGAGAAGAAAGUGCGUGAGAGUAACUGUUCACGUUUCGACGGUAUCUAACCAGAAAGCCACGGCUAGCUACGUGCCAGCAGCCGCGGUAAUACGUAGGUGGCAAGCGUUAUCCGGAUUUAUUGGGCGUAAAGGGAACGCAGGCGGUCUUUUAAGUCUGAUGUGAAAGCCUUCGGCUUAACCGGAGUAGUGCAUUGGAAACUGGGAGACUUGAGUGCAGAAGAGGAGAGUGGAACUCCAUGUGUAGCGGUGAAAUGCGUAGAUAUAUGGAAGAACACCAGUGGCGAAAGCGACUCUCUGGUCUGUAACUGACGCUGAGGUUCGAAAGCGUGGGUAGCAAACAGGAUUAGAUACCCUGGUAGUCCACGCCGUAAACGAUGAAUGCUAAGUGUUGGAGGGUUUCCGCCCUUCA